rnacentral:sRNA from 1 species
GAAAAGUUGCUCCAACUGACUUCGCAAAAUAUUGAAAUCAAGCUAGUGAGUGAUGUAACAGCUGAUUCAAAGGUAUUAGAAGCCUUGAAAUUAAAGGGCAAAUGAAUUAACAGGGAUGCAGGAGGCUUUUUCUGAAGGACUUUUCCCCACUCUCUGCACUGGGAGACACGAGAACUACACUAAAAUAAUGUUCCAGGCAAAGCCUUCUGUUAACAACGUGCCUCUCUGUGAGGUGUGUGAUGAGGAUCUCUGGGCCAGCAUAGCCCUUCCUUGAAGUUGGACACCAACAGCUUCAAGAACGGCAAGGAGCACAGCAGGUUCCUACUCCAGCUUGCGGUGUGAUCCUUGCCUGAAGCUUCUUCUCUUGUUAAUUAGAGAACCUGAUUCUUCUAAAGUGUCUCCACUCUCCUUUAUAACAUACAGACACAUGCUUUCCCUCCUUCUCCCCAAAAUCCUGAUACCCUCAUAUUCUUCUUACCAUUCCCUUCCUUUCCAUGGCCCAGGAGCAUUUCCCAUUUGAAAUUUCUGAGUUUCUCAGACUGAAUGAAGACU